ensembl:lncRNA
UAUAUCAUGAGUAAUAUUUUUUUUAAAAAUCCAUCUAAAUAAAACACACACAUGCACGCACUUAUUACAUUUUUAAACUGUAGAGAUACAAUCAUUUUACUGCUGUAAAAUCCAACUUUUGUCUUAUUUAAAAUAUAAAUCUAAUAUAAUCUGCUUCUUAAUGUAUGUUCUUUAAAUUACAGCUUGUGUUUUUAAUAUAUUAUAAUUAUAAUAAUGCACAAUUAUGUGGACAUGCGUAUUAGAUCGUUUUUAGUGAAAUAUAAUCCCUCCAGAAAGGCAGGAAAAGCCCGGAAACUUACUUUAAAACUAAAUAUGUUCCCUAAAACGGUGACAGAGCUACAGAUCCAUGACAGCCUUACACAGGUAGCCAGCAGCUGUGACCAGCACUACCUGUGCAGUUAAUAAAAGGACAGGUAAUGUUUGUCGCGCUGUUGCACACACAGCACGCUCGUUUGUUUCAGUUCGUCAGUUGCAACAAGACAACUUACCAACGUGUACGUAAUAAGCUAAUACUCCUGUGUGCUACACACUACAGUGCACGCUGUGCACCUACUUACUGGGUUUGUCGCAUCAGUCUGUGUCUCUGAGUUAACUUGUGUUUCUCCUACAGCUCCGGACUACAAAAAAUGCGCGUGCUCUUUGUGAGCUCGUUCCCAGCUCCUAACCAGCGCGUUCUGCCGUCAAGGGCGAUCAUUGGUUAAAUGUGAUCAUGUGACUGAUGCAAGCCAGAUCCUUUUAUUUGGCAAAACUGUGAUUAAUAGUUAAAUAUUAUUGUUGAGGGGCACAGACAGGACUCCGCACGCACACACACAAAGAAAAUUAAAAAAAAAAAAAAAAAAAAAGUUGCCUCAACAAAAGGGCACUUCAGGCACCCAUCAGGAAAGGGGCGGGUGCCCAAGCCCCUCUAGCCCCCCCCCCCCUUCUGCACGUGCCUGGUAGGAGAGCCUGCACUGUAGAUACUGGGUUUUAUUAAGAGAAUGCAAUUGCAACAAUAACAAAUUGAAAAGAUUUUUUCAUUCCCUGUAAUGUAUGGCUGCUGAGCAGCCAUACCAGACAUGCACACAGGGUGACCAGAUCACAAUAAGCCGCAUGUCGGACUUUUCAACUCUUGCUAGGUAAACACCAUAAGAAUAAAGGGAAGCUUUCACUCUCCCUUGUUAUUUCAGCUGCG